CGCAGCCGGGGCGGCCCAGGCACUGCUGUGAGGAGCAGGCUCAGGAGCGCGGGCUGAGCCCGCCCCCCCACCCGGCAGAGACGUGGUUAGAGGCCGGGUGCAUUUCACCUGCUCGGGGCCAGCGAAGAGUGACUGCCCUUCCCAGCACGUUUGCCCCAGCUGCGAGCAGUGCACGAGAUGCCUGCAGGCGGCACCGGGCCCAGGGCUCAGUGGAGACAUCUGGUGAGGUGGGGGCAAGCUGGCUGGAGCUGGGCGGUCUGAAGUCAGCCCCCUCAAGAGCCCUCCUGCCAAGGAGGCUUUUUUGGGACCACAAGCAUGAAAACCCCAGUGGCUGUGACACCUAUGCCAGGCUUCAGCAAACGCAUCUGAUUUCAGUCCCAUUUCCUGCCCUAGAUGACUUUUCUGCCCUGAAUCAAGCUGACAAGUUUUUUGCUGAGGAUCCAAUCUCUCCCUGAAAAUGUGCAAGGAGCCCACCAUGUCUGCUGAGCUGUGAAAAUCCAGAUGGCAGCAGGCAGGCAUUUUCUAUACUUCAGCAGCCUAAAGAUUUUCUGAUCCAGUGAAAGAAAAAAUGACCUGCAGUGCAGAACUGGGCAGAUCUCUAGGCACAACGGUCCCUGAUUCUGGAAUCAUCACAUGCAGCCGCACGUCCCCACUCCAGACGCUUAGGUAGGCAUUUGGGGGGCUAGCUCUCUGGGGUGGCAGUUAAAAAAAGUGGGAAGGGAGGGGACUGCAGCUGUUGCUGCAUCUCAGUGCAGAAGACUCAUAAUUCAGACUCUCAGCAUAAAAGUUUUUGGGCAUUCAGGGCUCCAUUCUCCUCACCCCAAAGAACAUUUAAUUUCUCCAAGUACAUGUACAGACUCUCUGCUGGGUGAACGAGGAUUUCAGGGCCCUCUCAUACAAAAGUCCUUCAUUAAUGUGGCAGGCCAGAUGCCUGCCAUCACUAGUCUUCAAGCUGGCUGGGCUCCCUUCCCCUCAGACAGGUUACAAUUUUGUUUAGGAGGGGGAAGCCUUCAAUCCUGAGGUCAUGUGACAGACAUAGUCACUAUACCUGUCUCCACAUCCAGAAGAGGACUUGGGUCGCAACAAAGGGAACCCUAAUGAUGACAAGAUGUCCAUAUGUAAAGUAUGCCGGGAACAUGCACUGCCACCUAAUGCAGGCAGCUUAAGAAGGAUCCAGACCAAGACAAAUGUGUUGCUGCCUGCCUGCAUGCAGUGUUGCCAGUUCGCACAAUUCUGUUAUCAAAUUUGGGAUAGUUAAUCGUUAAUAAUAGUUAAUUUAAAAAAAAAUUCAGCCCUCAUGUUGGCAAAGAAAAAGUUUGAAAACAUGAACCCAAGAAUAAUGUUUAGAGCUUCACACUUUGAAAGUGAAAUCAUUGGGUUUUUUAAUCCUUUGGGACUAGCAAUACUGUGCAUGCCAGUCAGCAACAGAAAUGAGGAUUUAGCUAUGGUUUCUCCUACUGAUAGCAGCUCCUCUUGGCAGUAAAUAAAAAAGAGGUGCAUGUGUACACACACAAAUGUGCACACAACUAGCUACAUUUGCAUAAAUAAACAUGAAAA